GAUGAACGCUGGCGGCGUGCCUAAUACAUGCAAGUCGAGCGAACAGAUAAGGAGCUUGCUCCUUUGACGUUAGCGGCGGACGGGUGAGUAACACGUGGAUAACCUACCUAUAAGACUGGGAUAACUUCGGGAAAUCGGAGCUAAUACCGGAUAACAUAUUGAACCGCAUGGUUCAAUAGUGAAAGGCGGCUUUGCUGUCACUUAUAGAUGGAUCCGCGCCGUAUUAGCUAGUUGGUAAGGUAACGGCUUACCAAGGCAACGAUACGUAGCCGACCUGAGAGGGUGAUCGGCCACACUGGAACUGAGACACGGUCCAGACUCCUACGGGAGGCAGCAGUAGGGAAUCUUCCGCAAUGGGCGAAAGCCUGACGGAGCAACGCCGCGUGAGUGAUGAAGGUCUUCGGAUCGUAAAACUCUGUUAUCAGGGAAGAACAAAUGUGUAAGUAACUGUGCACAUCUUGACGGUACCUGAUCAGAAAGCCACGGCUAACUACGUG
rnacentral:rRNA from 1 species